UGGGUAACACUAACUGGAGGACCGAACCCACUGUCGUUGAAAAGCCAGGGGAUGACUUGUGGAUAGGGGUGAAAGGCUAAUCAAGCCUGGUGAUAGCUGGUUCUCCCCGAAAGCUAUUUAGGUAGCGCCUCGGACGAAUACCAUAGGGGGUAGAGCACUGUUUCGGCUAGGGGGGCAUCCCGACUUACCAAACCGAUGCAAACUCCGAAUACCUAUGAGUACUAUC
rnacentral:rRNA from 1 species